rnacentral:rRNA from 1 species
GUACACGGUGGAUGCCCUGGCAGUCAGAGGCGAUGAAGGACGUGCUAAUCUGCGAUAAGCGUCGGUAAGGUGAUAUGAACCGUUAUAACCGGCGAUUUCCGAAUGGGGAAACCCAGUGUGAUUCGUCACACUAUCAUUAACUGAAUCCAUAGGUUAAUGAGGCGAACCGGGGGAACUGAAACAUCUAAGUACCCCGAGGAAAAGAAAUCAACCGAGAUUCCCCCAGUAGCGGCGAGCGAACGGGGAGCAGCCCAGAGCCUGAAUCAGUGUGUGUGUUAGUGGAAGCGUCUGGAAAGGCGCGCGAUACAGGGUGACAGCCCCGUACACAAAAAUGCACAUAUUGUGAGCUCGAUGAGUAGGGCGGGACACGUGGUAUCCUGUCUGAAUAUGGGGGGACCAUCCUCCAAGGCUAAAUACUCCUGACUGACCGAUAGUGAACCAGUACCGUGAGGGAAAGGCGAAAAGAACCCCGGCGAGGGGAGUGAAAAAGAACCUGAAACCGUGUACGUACAAGCAGUGGGAGCACGCUUAGGCGUGUGACUGCGUACCUUUUGUAUAAUGGGUCAGCGACUUAUAUUCUGUAGCAAGGUUAACCGAAUAGGGGAGCCGAAGGGAAACCGAGUCUUAACUGGGCGUUAAGUUGCAGGGUAUAGACCCGAAACCCGGUGAUCUAGCCAUGGGCAGGUUGAAGGUUGGGUAACACUAACUGGAGGACCGAACCGACUAAUGUUGAAAAAUUAGCGGAUGACUUGUGGCUGGGGGUGAAAGGCCAAUCAAACCGGGAGAUAGCUGGUUCUCCCCGAAAGCUAUUUAGGUAGCGCCUCGUGAAUUCAUCUCCGGGGGUAGAGCACUGUUUCGGCAAGGGGGUCAUCCCGACUUACCAACCCGAUGCAAACUGCGAAUACCGGAGAAUGUUAUCACGGGAGACACACGGCGGGUGCUAACGUCCGUCGUGAAGAGGGAAACAACCCAGACCGCCAGCUAAGGUCCCAAAGUCAUGGUUAAGUGGGAAACGAUGUGGGAAGGCCCAGACAGCCAGGAUGUUGGCUUAGAAGCAGCCAUCAUUUAAAGAAAGCGUAAUAGCUCACUGGUCGAGUCGGCCUGCGCGGAAGAUGUAACGGGGCUAAACCAUGCACCGAAGCUGCGGCAGCGACGCUUAUGCGUUGUUGGGUAGGGGAGCGUUCUGUAAGCCUGCGAAGGUGUGCUGUGAGGCAUGCUGGAGGUAUCAGAAGUGCGAAUGCUGACAUAAGUAACGAUAAAGCGGGUGAAAAGCCCGCUCGCCGGAAGACCAAGGGUUCCUGUCCAACGUUAAUCGGGGCAGGGUGAGUCGACCCCUAAGGCGAGGCCGAAAGGCGUAGUCGAUGGGAAACAGGUUAAUAUUCCUGUACUUGGUGUUACUGCGAAGGGGGGACGGAGAAGGCUAUGUUGGCCGGGCGACGGUUGUCCCGGUUUAAGCGUGUAGGCUGGUUUUCCAGGCAAAUCCGGAAAAUCAAGGCUGAGGCGUGAUGACGAGGCACUACGGUGCUGAAGCAACAAAUGCCCUGCUUCCAGGAAAAGCCUCUAAGCAUCAGGUAACAUCAAAUCGUACCCCAAACCGACACAGGUGGUCAGGUAGAGAAUACCAAGGCGCUUGAGAGAACUCGGGUGAAGGAACUAGGCAAAAUGGUGCCGUAACUUCGGGAGAAGGCACGCUGAUAUGUAGGUGAAGUCCCUUGCGGAUGGAGCUGAAAUCAGUCGAAGAUACCAGCUGGCUGCAACUGUUUAUUAAAAACACAGCACUGUGCAAACACGAAAGUGGACGUAUACGGUGUGACGCCUGCCCGGUGCCGGAAGGUUAAUUGAUGGGGUCAGCGCAAGCGAAGCUCUUGAUCGAAGCCCCGGUAAACGGCGGCCGUAACUAUAACGGUCCUAAGGUAGCGAAAUUCCUUGUCGGGUAAGUUCCGACCUGCACGAAUGGCGUAAUGAUGGCCAGGCUGUCUCCACCCGAGACUCAGUGAAAUUGAACUCGCUGUGAAGAUGCAGUGUACCCGCGGCAAGACGGAAAGACCCCGUGAACCUUUACUAUAGCUUGACACUGAACAUUGAGCCUUGAUGUGUAGGAUAGGUGGGAGGCUUUGAAGUGUGGACGCCAGUCUGCAUGGAGCCGGCCUUGAAAUACCACCCUUUAAUGUUUGAUGUUCUAACGUGGACCCGUGAUCCGGGUUGCGGACAGUGUCUGGUGGGUAGUUUGACUGGGGCGGUCUCCUCCUAAAGAGUAACGGAGGAGCACGAAGGUUGGCUAAUCCUGGUCGGACAUCAGGAGGUUAGUGCAAUGGCAUAAGCCAGCUUGACUGCGAGCGUGACGGCGCGAGCAGGUGCGAAAGCAGGUCAUAGUGAUCCGGUGGUUCUGAAUGGAAGGGCCAUCGCUCAACGGAUAAAAGGUACUCCGGGGAUAACAGGCUGAUACCGCCCAAGAGUUCAUAUCGACGGCGGUGUUUGGCACCUCGAUGUCGGCUCAUCACAUCCUGGGGCUGAAGUAGGUCCCAAGGGUAUGGCUGUUCGCCAUUUAAAGUGGUACGCGAGCUGGGUUUAGAACGUCGUGAGACAGUUCGGUCCCUAUCUGCCGUGGGCGCUGGAGAACUGAGGGGGGCUGCUCCUAGUACGAGAGGACCGGAGUGGACGCAUCACUGGUGUUCGGGUUGUCAUGCCAAUGGCACUGCCCGGUAGCUAAAUGCGGAAGAGAUAAGUGCUGAAAGCAUCUAAGCACGAAACUUGCCCCGAGAUGAGUUCUCCCUGACCCUUUAAGGGUCCUGAAGGAACGUUGAAGACGACGACGUUGAUAGGCCGGGUGUGUAAGCGCAGCGAUGCGUUGAGCUAACCGGUACUAAUGAACCGUGAGGCUUAACCUU